rnacentral:sRNA from 1 species
GCUUAGUCCUGAGUAAUCAGGAACGGAGGAACCAAUUUUUUGGGGUUAAUUCUGCAUUUGCAGAAAGGAUGAGAGACUCUUUCGCCAUCCUACCCGUCAGCUAACUUCGUCGGCUAAAGCGAAGG